AAUCAUACAACAACGACUAAAGCACAAACAGUGCUGAACAUUACAAGAGCAAGCGUCACGAGUAGUAAACAUGCAAGUGAAACAAAAGAGAGAUACUUAACUAUUCUAUUACAACCAUUCAACUUGAUACAUUUAAUUACAACUUAGCUUUACAUUCAACCAAAGUAUAAACAUUAGUUUACAUUUAUCUCAAAAUACCUCACAUCCUAUACAUCAUCUACUCUCAAUACAUGUAUAGGGUAACUCUAGUGCAAAAUAGGAAAGUAAACUACCAACUAGCAUAGGGCGCUAAGCCCAUACCGCGAUCCUCUGCCGGUCCGCUCUCGUGUGUACCUGUAACCCAAAACCACACGGGGUGAGAACUAUAUGAAUAUAGUUCCCAGCGGGCUCGGCCGCCGACUCCGCCGAUCUUCCCACUAGGUCUAAGCUGGCACAGAUAGAUAGAUAGAAAGAUAUAUGGAAGUAAACUGCUACUAUAUCUACUAUGCCAUCAAUGUAAAAGAUGCAUGGAACAUCAUCUAGCAACAAUCUACUAUCAUGCUAAUAUGCCUCAACAGUGAAAUGAAUACAACUAUAACAUAGUUAUGCAAUGCACUAUGUCUAUUCAUAGUAUGAAUGCAAUCCUCUUAUGUUAUUCAUGUUAUUACCCAAUCCGCUAGGCUAACUCGCCUAAGAUCUCAAAACUAGUAGGUGAAGAGCUAUCUCACUCUU
rnacentral:lncRNA from 1 species